UACGGAGGGUGCAAGCGUUAUCCGGAUUCACUGGGUUUAAAGGGUGCGUAGGAGGUCAGGUAAGUCAGUGGUGAAAUCCUGCAGCUCAACUGUAGAAUUGCCAUUGAUACUGGAUAGCUUGAGUACAGACGAGGUAGGCGGAAUUUAUGGUGUAGCGGUGAAAUGCAUAGAUACCAUAAAGAACCCCUAUUGCGAAGGCAGCUUACUAGGCUGUAACUGACGCUGAGGCACGAAAGCGUGGGGAUCAAACAGG
rnacentral:rRNA from 1 species